GCAUUUACACAGGGCGGUGGCGGCGGCGGUGGUGGUGAUGGUGACGGUGCUGUGCUACAGAUGGAGUCUGGAUCUGUCACGCAGGCUGGAGUGCAGUCGCGCGAUCUCAGCUCACUGCAACCUAUGCCUCCCAGGUCAAGCGAUUCUCCUGCCUCGGCCUCCCAAGGAACUGGAACCACAGGCGCGCGCCACUGCGCCCAAGGAUUUUCACUUUUAACUGUACAGUGAAGCACAGACUUCUGAGCCAGACUGCUUGGUCUGAACUCUGGUGUCACCACUUAGUAAGUUCUGGUUUGAAUGUACUCACUGAGUGGUCUUCAUAAAUUACCUCUCUGCACUUGAGUCUCCUGUCUGUAAAAUGGGGAUAAUAAUCAUUACAACGAAGCCUCAUAGGAUUCUGGUGGAGACCAAAUGCAUUAAUACAUAUGCAAAGCAUUUGGAACAGCUGGCAUAUAUAAGUGCCAUAUAUCUAUUAUUAAAAAUUUUUAAAUUAUA
rnacentral:lncRNA from 1 species